GAACGCCUGGUCAAAGACAAGACGAGGCCGGUCACCGUCCAUCAGCGACAACAUUUCGUUCAUCAGUUCACACCGAGGCCGUCCAUGUGCAGGAUCCUGGAGGCCCUCGUACUUGCCUUCGGCCGGCGCUUGUUAGAGGAGGGGGACCAGUGGCUGAGGAUACAGCAACGGAUGGAAGCUGGCAGAGAGCACAGUUGCAGAGUGAAGGAUGCAGCUUCACCUCACUGUUGUUACCAUCAGUGUGUGGAGAGGGAACACACACGAGGUGUCCACGGGGACUCUGGAGACCGUCCGUGAAUGCUGGUCGCCGCGGGAGGUCGAGUGUUUGUUGAUCAAGUUGGCAUCAUAUUAAUUUGAUGAACUGUCAACAUAGGCAGCCUUUGAUUGUGUUAAUACUGUAUCUUUAUUUGUAGUUUUUGAAUACAAGUAUUUGUGUAAUAAAAAAUAAAAAUAUAUAACAACCCACCA